rnacentral:rRNA from 1 species
UUGGUUAUGCUGAUAAGAGCGUAUGGUGGAUGCCUUGGCACUAAGAGCCGAUGAAAGACGUGAUAAGCUGCGAAAAGCUUCGGGGAGGAGCAAAUAUCCUUUGAUCCGGAGAUUUCUGAAUGGGGAAACCUACUUGAGCAAACCUCAAGUAUCCUUAAGCCAAUACAUAACUUAAGGAAGGGAACCCGGUGAACUGAAACAUCUAAGUAGCCGGAGGAAGAGAAAACAACAUGUGAUUCUGUGAGUAGCGGCGAGCGAAAACGGAAGAGCCCAAACCAGCGUGCGUGCAUGCUGGGGUUCGGACCGCGGAAUUGAUUCAACAAGUUUAGCAGAACGGUUUUGGGAAAGCCGGCCAGAGAGGGUGAAAGCCCCGUAAGCGAAAGACGAGUUGACAUGGCGGGAUCCAGAGUACCACGAGACACGUGGAACCUUGUGGGAAGAUGCGGGGACCACCCCGUAAGGCUAAAUACUACUUAGUGACCGAUAGCGCAUAGUACUGUGAAGGAAAGGUGAAAAGGACCCCGGGAGGGGAGUGAAAAAGAACCUGAAACCAUAUGUUUACAAGCUGUGGAAGAGCUUUAUAUGCUCAACCGCGUACUUUUUGUAGAACGGUCCGGCGAGUUACGCUGGCUGGCGAGGUUAAGGACUGAAGGUCCGGAGCCGAAGGGAAACCAAGUCUGAAUAGGGCGCAUAGUCAGUCGGAGUAGACCCGAAACCGGGUGAUCUAUCCAUGUCCAGGUUGAAGUUGCCGUAAAAGGCAAUGGAGGACCGAACCCACAUCCGUUGAAAAGGGUGGGGAUGAGGUGUGGAUAGGGGAGAAAUUCCAAUCGAACCCGGAGAUAGCUGGUUCUCCUCGAAAUAGCUUUAGGGCUAGCCUCAUACGAGUCUUGCGGAGGUAGAGCACUGAAUUCCUAAGGGGGCGUCAAAGCUUACUAAGGGAUAUCAAACUCCGAAUGCCGUGUAGAUGAUGUAUGGGAGUCAGACGAUCCGAGAUAAGUUGGGUGGUCAAAAGGGAAAGAGCCCAGACCAACAGCUAAGGCCCCAAAAUGUGUGUUAAGUGGAAAAGGAUGUGGGAUUUCGAAGACAACUAGGAUGUUGGCUCAGAAGCAGCCAUUCAUUCAAAGAGUGCGUAAUAGCUCACUAGUCGAGAGGUCCUGCGCCGAAAAUGUCCGGGGCUAAAACACACUGCCGAAGCUUUGGAAUUGAAUUAAUUCAAUUGGUAGAGGAGCAUUCUUAAAGGGACGAAGCAGUACCGUAAGGAGCUGUGGACUUUUAAGAAGAGAGAAUGCCGGAAUGAGUAGCGAGAGGAAGGUGGGAAUCCUUCCGGCCGAAUAUCUAAGGUUUCCAGAGUAAAGCUGAUCUGCUCUGGGUAAGUCGGGGCCUAAGGCGAGGUCGAAAGACGUAGUCGAUGGAUAACAGGUUGAAAUUCCUGUACUAUCCUGUAACAGAACUGUGGGGACACAGGCAGAGAGCGUGAGCCGGGAAUGGAAAGACCGGUACAAGCGAGGUAGGAGAAGAGUUGGCAAAUCCGCUCUUUAAUCUGAAGACGUGAUGUGGACUGAAAAUAAGUAGGGAAGCACGUG